GGACAACGCAUCUGACUACGGAUCAGAAGAUUCCGGGUUCGAAUCCCGGUGCACCCC
rnacentral:tRNA from 1 species